rnacentral:rRNA from 1 species
CAGCCGUAAACUAUGCGCGUUAGGUGUACUGGUGACCACGAGUCACCGGGGUGCCGAAGGGAAACCGUGAAACGUGCCGCCUGGGAAGUACGGUCGCAAGGCUGAAACUUAAAGGAAUUGGCGGGGGAGGCACCACAACGGGUGGAGCCUGCGGUUUAAUUUGGACUCAACGCCGGAAAUACUCACCGGAUAGGACAGACAUAUGAUAGUCGGGCUGAAGACUCUACUUGAUGAUCUGAGAGGUGGUGCAUGGCGUCAGUGACU